UGCAGCCAUGCCGCGUGUAUGAAGAAGGCUUCGGGUUGUAAAGUACUUCAGUCGUGAGGAAGGGGGUAACGUUAAUAGCGUUACCUCUUGACGUUAGCGACAGAAGAAGCACCGGCUAACUCCGUGCCAGCAGCCGCGAUAAUACGGAGGGUGCGAGCGUUAAUCGGAAUUACUGGGCGUAAAGCGCAUGCAGGUGGUUAGUUAAGUCAGAUGUGAAAGCCCGAGGCUCAACCUCGGAACAGCAUUUGAAACUGGCUGACUAGAGUACUGUAGAGGGGGGGUAGAAUUUCAGGUGUAGCGGUGAAAUGCGUAGAGAUCUGAAGGAAUACCAGUGGCGAAGGCGGCCCCCUGGACAGAUACUGACACUCAGAUGCGAAAGCGUGGGGAGCAAACAGGAUUAGAUACCCUGGUAGUCCACGCCGUAAACGAUGUCUACUUGGAGGUUGUUCCCUUGAGGAGUGGCUUUCGGAGCUAACGCGUUAAGUAGACCGCCUGGGGAGUACGGUCGCAAGAUUA
rnacentral:rRNA from 1 species